AUGUCUGUGUUGAAUUUAAUUUAAUUUACAGAAGGUUCGAGUGAAGGACUCGACUACUAAUGUUGUGCUGCUGGAAGGAAUGGCGAACAAGGGACUAUACGAGCUACUGAUGAUCAUCGAACCAAGCGCAAGGUCUAUAAAUUUGUGCGAAAAAUGCCUCCUCACUACUUAUGGCAUUGUCGACUGAGCCAUUUAAAUUUUUCAUAUAUGUCUGUAUUGGAGAAACAAGG
rnacentral:lncRNA from 1 species